CCUACGGGUGGCUGCAGUAGGGAAUAUUGGUCAAUGGGUGAGAGCCUGAACCAGCCAUGCCGCGUGCAGGAAGACGGCCUUCUGGGUUGUAAACUGCUUUUAUCUGGGGAUAAAAAGGCCUUGCGCGGCACUUUGAAGGUACCAGCUGAAUACGCACCGGCUAACUACGAGCCAGCAGCCGCGGUAAUACGUAGGGUGCAAGCAUUGUCCGGGUUUAUUGGGUGUGUAGGGUGCGUAGUAAGUCAGUGGUGAAAGCCAACAGCUCAACUGUUGAUGUGCCAAUGAUACUGAUGGACUUGAGUACAGACGAGGUAGGCGGAAUUGACAGUGUAGCGGUGAAAUGCAUAGAUAUUGUCAAGAACACCGAUAGCGAAGGCAGCUUGCUAGCCUGUAACUGACGCUGAGGCACGAAAGUGUGGGGAUCAAACAGGAUUAGAUACCCCUGUAGUC
rnacentral:rRNA from 1 species